AAGACUAUAGACCUGCGGAGUACCUGCGGAAGGAUCAUUAUAGAAAAAACAUAUUGAACCUGGAGGGGGGAGAGGGGGCGUGAGCUCUCUUUCUUCUUUCUGGGCAAACAACCAACACACAUGACUAGAAAGUGACAGACUGGAUUGGAUUGGGGGGGGGGAUCUCGCAAGAGAGAAAAGUUCUUGUCUGAUAAAAUGUAGCUUGUUGAUUUGGAGUUACUACAAUCAAUACAACUUUCA
rnacentral:misc_RNA from 1 species